UUUUUGAAAUGGGUUCUAUUCCCAAACCGUGUAUACAUACCUUUGUUGCUUUGGCAGGCCGCCUUCUAGGCGUCGGCUCCGGCUGACUGCGCCUGCCAGAGGACCCAAAUUCUUCUGUUUAGUGAUGUCUGAGUACUAUAUAAUAGUUAAAACUUUCAACAACGGAUCUCUUGGUUCUGGCAUCGAUGAAGAACGCAGCGAAAUGCGAUAAGUAAUGUGAAUUGCAGAAUUCAGUGAAUCAUCGAAUCUUUGAACGCACAUUGCGCCCCUUGGUAUUCCGAGGGGCAUGCCUGUUCGAGCGUCAUUAUAACCACUCAAGCCUCGGCUUGGUCUUGGGGUUCGCGGUUUCGCGGCCCUUAAAAUCAGUGGCGGUGCCGUCUGGCUCUAAGCGUAGUAAUUCUCUCGCUAUAGGGUCCAGGUGACCACCUGCCAUAACCCCCCAUUCUUUACGGUUGACCUCGGAUCAGGUAGGGAUACCCGCUGAACUAA
rnacentral:rRNA from 1 species